UGGCUCAGAUUGAACGCUGGCGGCAUGCCUAACACAUGCAAGUCGAACGGUAACAGGCCUUCGGGUGCUGACGAGUGGCGGACGGGUGAGUAAGGCGUGGGAAUCUGCCCUGUAGUGGGGGACAACCCGGGGAAACCCGGGCUAAUACCGCAUAAGCCCUGUGGGGGAAAGCGGGGGACCCGAGAGGGCCUCGCGCGACCGGAGCGGCCGAUGUCCGAUUAGCUAGUAGGUGGGGUAAAGGCCUACCUAGGCGACGAUCGGUAGCUGGUCUGAGAGGAUGAUCAGCCACACUGGGACUGAGACACGGCCCAGACUCCUACGGGAGGCAGCAGUGGGGAAUUUUGGACAAUGGGCGCAAGCCUGAUCCAGCCAUGCCGCGUGAGUGAAGAAGGCCUUCGGGUUGUAAAGCUCUUUCGGCCGGGAAGAAAUCGGGCGGGUGAAUAAUCCGUCUGAUG
rnacentral:rRNA from 1 species